GUGCUUGCUUUGGCAGCACAAAUACUAAAAUUUGAACAAUACAGCGAUACAGAGAGGAUUAGCAUACCCCUCCCCCGCAAAAAAGAC
rnacentral:snRNA from 1 species